rnacentral:lncRNA from 1 species
GAAAAAGUUUUCAGGAAUCUACAAGCGAUGAGGACGCUAGGCGGCUUUCUUGCUCUUCUUGUCUCUGCUGCAUGUAUCCAUGGCACGUUUUCUAUCUUGGGCAUGAAGAAACCAGAACUGAAACUACCAGACUACUGCAGCAAGCCACCAUUUUUCGGUGGCUGCCAACCGAUAACAAAAGAGUGGUAUUUCGACACAACCGAAAAGAUUUGUAGACCGACAAGUGCUGGUUUGUGCUGCGCUGGCCACAACCGCUUCGUCACAAGAGACAAGUGUCGCGAAAUGUGCGAUCGUCGACAAAAGCUCUUAUCCGGUAAGGUAACGUUCCCUAACGUGUGCGUGACAACACCGACAUUUGUUUCGUGUGGCCAGAGGCAAAGUGCCUGGUAUUUUGAUUCUGCUGCCGGAAAAUGCAAAAUGUUCAGCUUCAACGCUAACACUUGCAGAGCUAGCAGCAACACAUUUUUAUCAGAGCUGAAGUGCCAGCACGCGUGCAUGC